AGCGAACGCUGGCGGCAUGCCUAACACAUGCAAGUCGAACGACACCUUCGUAUCAGGUUGCGCUCGGGUGCGUAGCGCGUGGGAACCUGCCCUUAGACUCGGGAUAACACCCCGUCGGGGGUGCUAAUACCGGGUAAUGUACGCGAACCAAAGAUUCAUCGCAUUUGGGUGGGCCCGCGUUGGAUUAGCUAGUUGCGAGGGUAAGAGCCUACCAAGGCUACGAUACAUAGCUGGUCUGAGAGGAAGAUCAGCCACACUGGGACUGAGACACGGCCCAGAAUCCUACGGGAGGCAGCAGAGGGGAAUAUUGGACUAUCGGCGAAAGCCUGAACCAGCAAGGGCGCGUGAGUGAUGAAGGCCUUAGGGUUGUAAAGCUCUUUUACCCGGGAUGAUAAUGACAGUACCGGGAGAAUAAGCACCGGCUAACUCCGUG
rnacentral:rRNA from 1 species